rnacentral:misc_RNA from 1 species
CGGUGCUGAGUGAAGACUAUUUAUACAAAUUCCAGAGAAUAAUGAUAAAAGCUAAACCCCAGGGACUAUCUCUCUGUCUCUACACACUGCUGAGUCUCUUGGUACAUAGUGUUGAAACUGAUGAUGGACUCCUGAAUGACCUAACCUGGGCCCAACAAAUGGACCUCCACAACAACCAGUUAGACAGUGGAAGCAGCGAGUAUAAAGACAACGAAGAUUUUAAGAAGUGGGUGUUGGAAGAAGAGCAUAUAUUAACAUCACACAGCAAGGUUCCACAUCGCACAGCACAACACAACACACAAAGUGAAAUGUGGUGGAAGGUGACAAGUCAAGAUGAUCCAGCAAUGGAUGCCGAACCAGUGUCCUGGGACGGCAAAGGCUUAGUCAACAGUGUGUCACCUAAUCUCUUUCAAGACUAUGAACUAAUUCAACACACAUGGAAAGAGGAUGCUGUUACGUAAAUGUUAUUCCCCAAAAAAUCUUUCUGUAUACUGUACUGUGUGUAAUGAUAUACUGUAGUGUAGUGUACUGUAUUGUAGUGUAGUGAAGUGUAGUGUACUGUAUUGUAUUGUACUGAACUGGUCAUUACAGGAACAUAAGGACAGAAAGAUAUAAGAAUACAGAGACAGACAUGGUUACCCAAAGUCAGGACCCACUGACAUUUCGCAUUUAUUCUCUUUGACAUAAGUGUACUGUAUCUCUCCUCAACAUUGUGACAAUCAUCUGGGCAGAUUCAAAUCUUGUUGGGUUUUAAAGUCCUCUGUGUUUCUAGGAGAUUAAGUACACAAACCCAAUUUAAGAUGUCUUCCUCGUUCAACAACAUUUUUGUCUACGAAUGAUCUAUUUAGAAAUAAAGUAAAACUCACUACAAUAAAACUGUGAAGUCCUACUUGUUCUGGCUUUGAUAUAUGUAAGAUAAAAAAUGAGAUUAAAGUUGUAAAAAAGGCACCAUGUUAUUUAGAGAGGGUUGUGAAUCCAUACAUGUAAUUCUGUAGAUAAAAAACUUAUAAUGCCACAUGGGGGUUGGUCAGUCCCAGGAUAUUGUGAACUUUAAAGCAAGUGAGGUAGGUGGGACAAGUUAUCCAGGGAGCAAGAUGGUUCACUUUACUGACCGUCAACGCCUGGGUCAUUAGGGCCGGGAGUGAGAAAAAGGAGGAGGAAAGAAUAAACUGUUGGGGAAGACCUGAAUAACAAUAUUAAAAACUUUAACUGGUGGUAGAGUAAUAAUGGUGAGGGACUUAACUGUGAGAGGGAGUGAUGGGGAAGGAAGUGAGACUGUGGGGGGGAAACAUCAAGUACUAGGAAUGAGUUAACAUGAAGAAAGAGAGAGGUGUGUGUGUGUGUGUUGGUUCUAAAUCUGGUCAUCAUAGUGGGGUAGAGACUUGCCCGAGUGAAAAAAUGACAUAUUGCCGAGUGUAUUUCUGCAAUGGUAAAGUACUGUAUGUAUUGUACUUAUGCCAGAAAUUUGAUGAUGCCUUAGAUAUAUGGCAAGCAGGUACAGUGUACUAACUAAAUAUUAUCAUAGCAGGACUAAAACGUCUGCUAUUGGUGGUGCAGAAUAUAUUAUUACAUAUAGUUUUCAUAAAGCAUUUCAACCUUUUAACAUUAACCCAAAGAGGAGCAUUUAUAUCAAGACAAUAUUUAAGUCUUAGCUACUGGUAGUGAUCAUUGUUAACUGUUCUGUAACUGUGCAAUAUUUGUAUAAAGAUAUUUUAUUACUUGU